rnacentral:ncRNA from 1 species
UAUCGUAAAAGGCAAACUUAUCGAAAGGUAAGGACGCAAAGCUGCAGAUCUAAGGUUGCUCUCGCAACAAUGAUGGCUGGGCUGCCGAC